UCCCCUCGUCCUUCCAGAGCUGCCCGCCGGAUCCCCAAGAGGAAAGAUACCCGGUCGCAGCUAUCAAGUCGAGAGGAGUGUUCCGAGUGAGCGAGGGAAGUGAAAACAAAAGGUGAGUCGUUAUUAAUCUAUUCGGGCAAAAGGUGUAAUCAAAAUUACGUUCCUUACGCGCUCCUCAUUUGAAAACCCCGCGCGAAAGCGCGAGUCAAGAGUCCAUGCUCGGGCUCGCGCCUAACGUGAGAGCGUUGCAGUGCCUGGGUCCGGUGGUGGGGACAACGCCGAAUCGCGAGGACCGCUCGCACGCACAAUUAGUCUAAUUUCGAACAUCGUACCAGUGAGUCAGCGGCCAGGCCGAGUCCGACGAGCCAUCUGUUUGUGCGGCGAGCGUGUUCUUCGUUCCAACAGGGCGGUUCCACAUAACCAAAAAUAACGAGAGACAUUCGGACAUCACCACUGGCAUCGUCUUCGGGGCUGUGCAUGCAGGUAUCGGUUGCAGUACGUUAAAUAAGCUUCUAGCUUGUGCUGAUAUUCCUACCAUCACGGACAGCUUAUUCAAACGUUAUGAACGUGAAAUGGGACCGAUGAUAGAGGAAGCUGCUAAAGAGAGCUGUAAGCGAGCAGCUGCAGAAGAGCGAGAGCUCGUUUUAGAAAAAAUGGUUCAGUUAGCGCAGGAGUUGUAAGCUUUCUUUUUUUGAUAUCAUGAAACAAUCAUUUUGUUAAAAAAGUUCUAUCGUUAUAUCAUUUUCUUAAAAUUUUGCUGAAAAUUUCGAUACUUAUGGGUAAAACAUAAAAAUUCUCAAUAGUCGCUCAAAAGAGUGCUUGUUAAAAGUAGCAUUUUCAUCAAUAAAUAUUUUGACUUCUCCCCAGUGCCUUCUAAAACUUUGCAUACAUUUUUAUGAAAUAUUAAAGAAACAAGUUAUUUUUUCAAAAAAAUGUAAAGAAAAAUUUUUCCGCAAUUUUUGUAAUUAUACAGCAAGUAUUUACUAAAUUUUUUGAUUUAAAUGUCACGAUAGAACUACCUCAAACAAUUUACACGUUUAUUUGGUUUCAAA